ACACCGAUGGUGAAACGGUAUCAUGCUUGCCUUCCACAGAGAUAACCUCUCAAGUGAGCAAGCGGCGUGGGUUCGACUCCCGCUCGGUGUA
rfam:Pleurotus ostreatus PC15 unplaced genomic scaffold scaffold_01, whole genome shotgun sequence.